GACGAACGCUGGCGGCGUGCUUAACACAUGCAAGUCGAACGGAAAGGCCCUGCUUUUGUGGGGUGCUCGAGUGGCGAACGGGUGAGUAACACGUGAGUAACCUGCCCUUUACUUUGGGAUAACUUCAGGAAACUGGGGCUAAUACCGGAUAGGAGCUCCUGCUGCAUGGUGUGGGUUGGAAAGUUUCGGCGGUUGGGGAUGGACUCGCGGCUUAUCAGCUUGUUGGUGGGGUAGUGGCUUACCAAGGCUUUGACGGGUAGCCGGCCUGUGAGGGUGACCGGCCAAAUUGGGACUGAGAUACGGACCAGACUCCUACGGGAGGCAGCAGUGGGGAAUAUUGCACAAUGGGCGGAAGCCUGAUGCAGCAACGCCGCGUGCGGGAUGACGGCCUUCGGGUUGUAAACCGCUUUCGCAUGUGACGAAGCGUGAGUGACGGUAAUGGGUAAAGAAGCACCGGCUAACUACGUG
rnacentral:rRNA from 1 species